rnacentral:lncRNA from 1 species
UUGCUUGGGUUUUCUGCUAGUUUGGCUGUGGUGUUUGGCUUAUCUUGGGCAGACUUUCUUCACAGACUUGCUUGGGUUCUCUUUCGCUCGCUCUAUCUCUAAAUUUCUUUGGUGGAUUUCUCUUGGCGUGGCGGUGUUGUUGUUGGUGUUCUCUUUGUGAACAAUCUCGUCUUCACAGAUUCAUUAUCUUAUCGAUCUGCACCUAACUUGUAAGUCAUUUUUCUCUCAA